AAAAAUUUCAUAUCAAAGAAACGAAGGCACUCGAACAUCGAAUGUCGGUUCUUCAAAGCUCGAAACUUGCAAUGGAUCUCGAUCUGAAGUACUUGGAGGCCGUGGCAAAACACGGGAGUAGCUCCAUGUUGUUUAUAACGUCUGAAAGACUGCGUCAUCAAAUAGGAUUUCAUCGCGAGAUUCUGACAGUGGAUAAAGAAAAGACCGAAGACUUGGACUACAGAUUCGACUUCAAUGAACACUUUUUGGCAACGGCUGAGAAAAUCACGUCACUUGGAAAACUUAGAGUUAAACGAUCUAACGUGGAGGAAAAUAAUCACGUCAAUGGAGAACAGGGCCUUGAACGUAACGCUCCAGUCAUAGAUCUCGCCUCACGGAGUCUGGAAACGUACACGGUCAUGUCCGGGAAAAUCCCGCACUCGAUUAUGGGAAAUCCGGAACCGUUCAGCCUGAAGCUGAUCAAAGAAAAAGACUACAACGGAUCGACUCCUAACGAGCGGCGGAUCGUCUGGUUCACGGGAGGAAUGUUCAUGGCGGACGGAGUCCACUUCCUAAUGGCGGACUACAACAACCACAAGCUGAAGAAGUUCAAGAGGGACGUCUACUACCCUGUCAUGGAAUUCCCGCUCGAAUCGGCGCCUUGUGACGUCACGGCAGCAAACAAUGAUGACGAAAUCAUCGUUACUUUACCACACGUCUGCAAAAUAGCGCAUUAUCGCAUCAACAGUGAGGGACUUAAGUUGCUGGGCGCUAUCACCACGCACUUCGGCUCCGGAAGGCGUGGCGUCAAUGGGAGACAAGAUUGUCGUGUCGUUUGGGGACUGUAUCAAAAUUCUCGGGGAGGACGGGGUUGAGAUCCAGACGAUUCCGACGCUAGAGAGCUUUACUUACACUGCCCCUGUGGUGGUGUCACGUGAUAACCAAAAGAUCUAUCAUCGGGAUGGAGAGGCUAUCGUGUGUAGGUCAACUGAAGGGGAAGAAGUAUUUAGAUAUCAGGACCGAGCUCUGAGAGAGCCGGCUGGGUUAGCGCUGGAUUUCGAGGAUAACAUUUACGUGUGCGACUGCAAAUCGAACACGAUCUUCCAGGUGACGUCAGACGGAUCACGUGGUCGAGUCGUCCGCUCCGCUCGGGUUAAUGUCGGUAGUCCGGUGGGGAUCGGAUUCGAUCAAACCGGAAGAAGGUUAUGGGUCACAGCCAACAUAAGGAGAUCCGGGCAACUGCUGACCAUGUUCUACUUAAUAAAUUGAGCACUCAAAAUAUCAUUUAUACAGAACCGCCAUCGAAAAGUGUUAUACAUGUUGUAUGUCAGAUUAUAGUGUAAUACGUGAAUUCUUAUAGUUGUAUUUAAUUUAUUCAUUAAUUUAUUGAAGUUGUGUCGUCAGUGGUGAAUGAUUGUAUACUGUAAACCAAUUUUUAUUCGCGUGUAAGAAAUUUUCGCGAGGUUCGCGGAGGAAUCGUCGUCGCGAAUAUUUCUCACCGCGAACCAGUCGUAGAAGAAUGGUUUUUACAACAAGACGGGUCUGGAUUAGGCUUGGUCGCAAACUUUAGUCGUCACGAACCAGUUUAUCGGAAGUGUAUCGCGAAAUAUAGUCGUCGCAAAUAAAAGUUGGUUUAUAGUAUUUUUGAUAAAUUCUAGAAUUCUUAAAAUAUUAAAAUGAAUAGGCAUGAUUACAUUUUUUAUAUAUUUCGUUUCGGGAGGGGGUAUUCUAUGGGGCAUUGGGGGUUGUGUCGGGAUGCCAAUUAUUUUUCUUGGUUAUUUUGAUCGUGAAUUCUAUUGUCUCUUUAUGUGAAUUUUGUGACUUUGUGAGUGUAUUUAUACAGUGUACGACAAUUUGUUAAAGAGUGUAUGAAUUUGUACAUGUAGCUCGACGUGUAGUCACGUGUAACACAUUUACUACAAGCAACAGUAGAUGUAGAUUUGAUUUUCUAUAUAAAAACCUUCAUAAUUUG
rnacentral:misc_RNA from 1 species